rnacentral:piRNA from 1 species
UCCCUACAUCAACCGCUGGAUAAGCUCA